rnacentral:sRNA from 1 species
GACGUGAGGGCAAUCUGGCUGCAACAUCUGUCACCCCAUUGAUUGCCAGGGUUGAUUUGGCUGAUCUGGCCUACUAGGUGGGUGUCCUCUUCCUCCCUCACCACUC